rnacentral:rRNA from 1 species
UACGUAGGUGACAAGCGUUGUCCGGAUUUACUGGGCGUAAAGAGCGUGUAGGCGGUCCGGUAAGUCGGUUGUGAAAGUCCAGGGCUCAACCCUGGGAUGCCGACCGAUACUGUCGGACUAGAGUUCGGAAGAGGCGAGUGGAAUUCCCGGUGUAGCGGUGAAAUGCGUAGAUAUCUGGAGGAAUACCGGUGGCGAAGGCGGCAUCCUGGACCGGCAUUGACGCUGAGGCGCGAAAGCUAGGGUAGCAAACGGG